UCAUACUUUUGAUGCCAGUGAAUAGACUUGGCAGAGGUGACGGCGCUGUGCGUAAUUAGAAAAUAACGUCGCUCUGAGCAACAGGGCAGUGAAACAUCCAACGGGUGUCUCGGUUCUAAUCGGCUACAUGUCAUGGCUGUUCGUCGAUUAUCGAGCUGAACGCCACGGAGUGAAACGCCGUCAUGAGUGAACAUGACAGGACAGUCGAUGGUCUUCAGUAUUCACUUGAUGGCGCCGGGGAGCGCGGAUGCGGACCUCUGCAGGUGUGGCACACCUGCAUUCCAUCGAGGCCCAUCAACUGCAGUUUAAGAAGAACUGCAUGCUAACCUCUGUGGCUCAUUGGUCGUCCCAUCUGAGCUUUCCUGGAUUCCCUCGUUCUGAUCUGGAUGAUCUAUUAUCCACUGAAGGAAUGCUGGUAU